rnacentral:misc_RNA from 1 species
GAUGAAGAACGCAGCGAAAUGCGAUAAGUAAUGUGAAUUGCAGAAUUCAGUGAAUCAUCGAAUCUUUGAACGCACAUUGCGCCCGCCAGUAUUCUGGCGGGCAUGCCUGUCCGAGCGUCAUUUCAACCCUCAAGCCCCCGGGCUUGGUGUUGGGGAUCGGCGAGCCUCCGCGCCCGCCGUCCCCUAAAUCUAGUGGCGGUCUCGCUGUAGCUUCCUCUGCGUAGUAGCACACCUCGCACUGGGAAACAGCGCGGCCACGCCGUUAAACCGCCAACUUCUGAACGUUUGACCUCGGAUCAGGUAGGAAUACCCGCUGAACUUAAGCAUAUCAAUAAGCGGAGGA